rnacentral:rRNA from 1 species
AGGAUACACCUGUUCCCAUUCCGAACACAGAAGUUAAGCUCUCUAGCGCUGAUGGUACUUGGUGGGAAACUGCCUGGGAGAGUAGGACGUAGCCACGUU